CUACCUAAAGUUAAUGUUUUGAGGCAAUGUUUCUUACCAGCUUGGGCUGUUUGGGAUAAUAACAUUGAAUAAGUUCCAUAGUGGGUUAUAAUAUGUAAAAUUCACUACUAUUUUGUACUCUACAUU
ensembl:snoRNA